GACAGGUUAAACAAUAAAAAUUAAUGAAUAAAAGUUACAAAUACCCCCUCCCCAUUAUAUACACCCCAUAAUCAAGUGAGAGUUCUCUCAUAUGUGUCUUCAAGCUGCUCCCGGUUAAAAUCCGAUCACUUCCUGGUUCCGGGUGUAUGACGUCAUCACGUUGCGUUCCGGACGUCGGACGUGCGUUCCACUUGCAUUCCAUUUGCGUUCCACAGCCAUUUUCUAUGGGUGCUGAAUUUCUUUAAGCUCCACAUCCGGUUCAUCAUAUUAAGAUUGUAUGAAUUUGGUAUAUUGUAUGUGGUGAAGGCGUGGGAGGGAAAAUAGAAACAUAUAAAAAAUUAUUUGAACACAUUUCCUCUUUAUGUUAAUUCUAAAUGCAUUCUCCAUUUGUAUCACAAAUAUAUGCCAAAAGGCAAUAGAGUCUCUGCAAGCAAC